rnacentral:misc_RNA from 1 species
GCUUUACAGAUUUGUUUACUUUUCAUUGAUGUUCAAUUCACAUGAGGUCCAAAUACCAAUCGAAAUCAUAGGAUAUAUAAAAUUAUAGGUUUCAUCAGGUUUGUAUGGGUUUCAUUGCUUUUCAAACAGUGAGUGUGCAGCAUCAAUAAUUCGUUCGUUAAAAACUAAAAAAGAAGACUUUUUAAAUAAAUUUUUCACUUUUUGGGAAGGUUUGACAACGUCUUUGUAAGGGAAAAAAAGGAGAAGUGGUUAAAAAAAAAAUAUAUAAAGUCGUCUGACCACCAUAUUAAAACAUAUAGAAUCUUGCCGGUAUUGAUUCGAACUGGGCAGAAGUGGAGUCUUGUCUUCAAAUGUCAGAUUAAAAAUUGUUUCUAUGCUGAUGUACUGGAGUUCGCGAUGGAACGUAUCUGGACUUCGAGAGACAAGAGUGGCCUUGCGCUACAAGAUGCUGCUAACAGUUUACCAGCUUUCGACGUUGUGAUUUGUUCUAGGAUGCAUCAGGUAAUAUUCUUGUCUUUGUCGUGCUGAACUGAUCCAAAUGAUGUUUUCAUCUUUCGGGUAUGAUAUUAUUAUGAUUCCCUUUACUUCACUGAUGGAAC